rnacentral:lncRNA from 1 species
UAUUGUUAGAUCUAUCCAGACAUUAAUCAUUAGAUUAUAAUGAAAUAACUAAAAUAUAUGACGAGCUAAUUAUUCAAAAAAGCAUAUGAAGUUAAUCUCAGUUGGAAGAGGAGAAGAAUCAAACAAACAAAAAGACAACCUUAAAACAGUUGGAUGGAUAGGAGAAACAUGAUCAGCCGAGAAAUCAAAUUAAAGCUUCAUGUGUGGAUGAACAUAAACCUUGCUUUAUGGAUCCAAACUCUUCAGCUUCUGCAAUUUUUUAUAUAUUAAUCAUUGCAGCAAGCAAGUGGCUAUAGCUUAGGUUGCUGGGAACUUGUUUCUGCCUGCUGGGAUGAACAAUUUCUGAGAGGAAGAUUAAACUAAAAGCCAGAGAACCCGCAAAUGAAGGAAAUAAAAUACCUCUUCUGGUUAUAUUCAGUACACGUGUCCGUAUUUUAUUGGAACGGCCGCCGGAGUCUUGUCGUGUAGUGCCCUUUCCUACUCCCAAGUAAUGUCUUCAGCAUAUGAUCAUUAACACUACAUCACAAUGGAGCGGGGAAAGAUAAGUUGACCUAAAUAAAACCUUGUUAUCAGAAUCCGAUUCAAGUGGAAGACAUUGUCAGAGUUCAUCACUAGACUGCACCAUAUUGCAUGACACAACACAUGACACCUGACUUAUCUAUUUUUGUUAUUUGGUUUGGAGGUUGGCUAAAUCCGUUAUUUGAAAAAAGAACGAGUGCAAACCAAUAAAUUAGUGGAAGCAAAAACAAUAGCUAGUUGAUAACUUGAUAUAGUGUUAAAUUCAGCUUAUUAAUCGUAUUUUCUAUGAAAAUGUCACUUUUAAUCAAGAAAAAUGUGAAGGAGAAGAUUAAUCACAUAAGCUUUCUCAUAAACCUAAUAUACAUUGUUUUGUUCACUAAUGAGAUGAUGAUAAUUACUAUCAUCAUGUAAUUAGUAAGAGAGCGAGCUAUGUUUCAUAUCAAACAAGUUGGGUGAUUAGUAUCAUGUAAGCAAGACCUAUUACUUCUUUAUAGUAACAUUAAAAAACAAAAAUUUCAAAAAAUUUAUUAAGUUUGACAAGUUAUGUGAUCAGUAUCAUCUAAGUAAAGUAAGACAGACUGUCUUUCCAGAGUUACUAAUAAAAAAUUAUAAAUACAGACAAUUGUGUAAAUUAGACAUGUUGUUAGAUCUGUCGAGAGAUUAGAAUAUAAGAUUAUAUGUGGUGGAAUAGCUAAAAUAUAAUGAAGAGGUGUUUAUAGAUGAGAAAUAUAUGAAAGAGGAGAAGAAUCAAACAAAAAUGAACAACCUUAAAAAUGUUGGAUGGUUGGAGAAUAUAAACAAUGUUUAAGAUAACUUAGAAAAAAUGACAACCUUAUAAGUAAGUUGUGUAAUGCAGAGUUUCAACGUGAUCUGCAGACAAAGCUUCAUGUGUGGAUGAACAUAGACCUUGCUUUAUGGAUCAGAUCACUCUGCAGCUUCUGCCAUUUUUG